UACGGAGGGUGCGAGCGUUAAUCGGAAUUACUGGGCGUAAAGCGCACGCAGGCGGUUUGUUAAGCAAGAUGUGAAAGCCCCGGGCUCAACCUGGGAACUGCAUUUUGAACUGGCAGACUAGAGUCUUGGAGAGGGGGGUGGAAUUCCAGGUGUAGCGGUGAAAUGCGUAGGAUGAGACAU
rnacentral:rRNA from 1 species